GCCUUCGUAGUGUAAUUGGAAGCACACUAGACCCGAAUUCGAGAGGUUCAGGGUUCGAGUCCCAGCGAAGGCA
rnacentral:tRNA from 1 species